rnacentral:rRNA from 1 species
CCGGCGACCGGCGGACGGGUGCGUAACGCGUAUGUAACCUACCUUUGACAGGGGGAUAACAUCGAGAAAUUGGUACUAAUACCCCAUAACAUCACCGGAGGCAUCUUCGGUGGUUGAAAACUCAGGUGGUCAGAGAUGGACAUGCGUUGUAUUAGCUAGUUGGUGAGGUAACGGCUCACCAAGGCGACGAUACAUAGGGGGACUGAGAGGUCAACCCCCACAUUGGGACUGAGACACGGCCCAAACUCCUACGGAAGGCAGCAG